AUACGAAGGGAGCUAGCGUUGUUCGGAAUUACUGGGCGUAAAGCGCACGUAGGCGGAUUUGUUAGUCAGGGGUGAAAUCCCGGGGCCCAACCUCGGAACUGCCUUUGAUACUGCAAGUCUGGAGUCCGGAAGAGGUGGGUGGAAUUCCUAGUGUAGAGGUGAAAUUCGUAGAUAUUAGGAAGAACACCGGUGGCGAAGGCGGCCCACUGGUCCGGUACUGACGCUGAGGUGCGAAAGCGUGGGGAGCAAACAGGAUUAGAAACCCCAGUAGUCC
rnacentral:rRNA from 1 species